rnacentral:rRNA from 1 species
GUGGGGAAUCUUGCGCAAUGGGCGAAAGCCUAACGCAGCCAUGCCGCGUGGAUGAUGAAGGUCUUAGGAUUGUAAAAUCCUUUCACCGGUGAAGAUAAUGACUGUAGCCGGAGAAGAAGCCCCGGCUAACUUCGUGCCAGCAGCCGCGGUAAUACGAAGGGGGCUAGCGUUGCUCGGAUUUACUGGGCGUAAAGGGCGCGUAGGCGGACAUUUAAGUCAGGGGUGAAAUCCCGGGGCUCAACCUCGGAACUGCCGUUGAUACUGGGUGUCUUGAGUAUGAGAGAGGUGUGUGGAACUCCGAGUGUAGAGGUGAAAUUCGUAGAUAUUCGGAAGAACACCAGUGGCGAAGGCGACACACUGGCUCAUUACUGACGCUGAGGCGCGAAAGCGUGGGGAGCAAACAGGAUUAGAUACCCCGGUAGUCC